GACAGAGGGUGCAAACGUUGUUCGGAAUUACUGGGCGUAAAGCGCGUGUAGGCUGCUCGGAAAGUCGGAUGUGAAAGCCCUGGGCUCAACCUAGGAAGUGCAUUCGAAACUUCCGAGCUGGAGUGCUGGAGAGGAAGGCGGAAUUCUCGGUGUAGAGGUGAAAUUCGUAGAUAUCGAGAGGAACACCGGUGGCGAAGGCGGCCUCUGGACAGUGACUGACGCUGAGGCACGAAAGCGUGGGGAGCAAACAGG
rnacentral:rRNA from 1 species